UACGGGGGGGGCAAGCGUUGUUCGGAAUUACUGGGCGUAAAGGGCUCGUAGGCGGCCAACUAAGUCGGAUGUGAAAUCCCCAGGCUCAACCUGGGAACUGCAUCCGAUACUGGAUGGCUUGAAUUCGGGAGAGGGAUGCAGAAUUCCAGGUGUAGCGGUGAAAUGCGUAGAUAUCGGGAGGAACACCAGUGGCGAAGGCGACUACCUGGCCUGUUCUUGACGCUGAGGCGCGAAAGCUAGGGGAGCAAACGGG
rnacentral:rRNA from 1 species